rfam:Glossina fuscipes fuscipes unplaced genomic scaffold Scaffold193, whole genome shotgun sequence.
AAGACUAUACUUCACAGGAUCAUUUCUGUAGUCAGUCUUCAUUUAUUGCCAUCCCAAGAUGGCCAUAACUCAACCCGCGAUGAUGAGUUAUGUCGUUUUACCUGGAGCGUGAGGUUAUGAACAUUGUCGUUCGGUGCGCCCUUGUGGCGGGCCGGGGACAAUGUUUCUCCGAUGAUCGCUUUAGUAACGGGUAAAACGAUUUCAGAGUGGU